rnacentral:rRNA from 1 species
ACACGUAGGGGGCGAGCGUUGUCCGGAUUUAUUGGGCGUAAAGAGCUCGUAGGCGGCUCAGUUAGUCGGGCGUGAAACCUCCAGGCUCAACCUGGAGACGCCACCCGAUACUGCUGUGGCUAGAGUCCGGUAGGGGAGCGUGGAAUUCCUGGUGUAGCGGUGAAAUGCGCAGAUGUCAGGAGGAACACCAGCGGCGAAGGCGGCGCUCUGGGCCGGAACUGACGCUGAGGAGCGAAAGCGUGGGGAGCGAACAGGA